GAUGAAGAACGUAGCGAAAUGCGAUAAGUAAUGUGAAUUGCAGAAUUCAGUGAAUCAUCGAAUCUUUGAACGCACAUUGCGCCCGCCAGUAUUCUGGCGGGCAUGCCUGUUCGAGCGUCAUUUCAACCAUCAAGCCCCGGGCUUGUGUUGGGGACCUGCGGCUGCCCGCAGGCCCUGAAAAGCAGUGGCGGGCUCGCUGUCACACCGAGCGUAGUAGCAUUAUCUCGCUCAGGGCGUGCUGCGUGUUCUGGCCGUUAAACAACGCCUUUUACACCCAAGGUUGACCUCGGAUCAGGUAGGAAGACCCGCUGAACUUAAGCAUAUCCAAUAAGCGGAGGA
rnacentral:misc_RNA from 1 species